GCAUAUAACCUAUAAUGGUGAAACCGCGAACGGCUCAUUAUAACAGCUAUAAUGUACUUGAUGUUGAUUAUCCAACGUGGAUAACUGUGGCAAUUCUAGAGCUAAUACAUGCACCAAAGCUCCGAAUUUUAAACGAGCGCAUCUAUUAGAUUAAAACCAAUCGGAUUAUUAAUUUUAAUCCGUUAAUUGGUGACUCUGAAUAGCUAUGGCUGAUCGCAUGGUCUUGUACCGGCGACGUAUCUAUCAAGUGUCUGCCUUAUCAACUUUCGAUGGUAGUUUAUGUGCCUACCAUGGUUGUAACGGGUAACGGAGAAUAAGGGUUCGACUCCGGAGAGGGAGCCUGAGAAACGGCUACCACAUCCAAGGAAGGCAGCAGGCGCGCAAAUUACCCACUCUCAGAAUGAGGAGGUAGUGACGAAAAAUAACGAGAC
rnacentral:rRNA from 1 species